UUGUGUGCGGUGAUGAGUAUUUUGCUGGACUAGAGUUUCUGAUCUGGGAUUUCAAGCCCCAGUUUUGAAGAGAAACCCUUGGCUGUCUGAGCACAUUA